GACGUAGGGGGGCCAGCGUUGUUCGGAAUUACUGGGUGUAAAGGGUUCGUAGGCGGUGUGGCAAGUCGGGAGUGAAAUCUCUGGGCUCAACCCAGAGUCUGCUUCCGAAACUGCUGUGCUUGAGUGUGGGAGAGGCGCGUGGAAUUGCAGGUGUAGCGGUGAAAUGCGUAGAUAUCUGGAGGAACACCGGUGGCGAAGGCGGCAUCCUGGACCAACACUGACGCUGAGUGAGCGAAAGCCAGGGGAGCAAACGGGAUUAAGAUGACCCUG
rnacentral:rRNA from 1 species